UAUAGCUGUUAAAACAACCCAAAUAAAGAAUAAACACUCUGAAAGAAAAUUCAUCUCAAGAUGGCAGGGCGAGAUGGUUAUAUGCUAAAGUUUAAUGUUAAAUUUUAAGCAACAUUUAUUAAAGGUAAUAGUCACUAUGAAUGGAAGUGCUUUCUACUGAGUCAGAUCAUAUUCCUGUUUGAUGGACAGCCAAUAAAUGAAGCAGAUAAGUCUUCCUCACUGAAAAUGGAAGAUGAAAAUGAUGUUUUCAUUCAGAACAAGUGGGCAAUAUCUACUAAAAACAUAAAUGGCUACUCAU
rnacentral:lncRNA from 1 species